rnacentral:piRNA from 1 species
UAUCAAGGGGUUUCUUCAGGCCGCAG